CAGUGUAAAAGUGUUCCUAUUUCUCCACAUCCUCUCCAGCACCUGUUGUUUCCUGACUUUUUAAUGAUUGCCAUUCUAACUGGUGUGAGAUGAUAUCUCAUAGUGGUUUUGAUUUGCAUUUCUCUGAUGGCCAGUGAUGAUGAGCAUUUUUUCAUGUGUUUUUUGGCUGCAUAAAUGUCUUCUUUUGAGAAGUGUCUGUUCAUGUCCUUCGCCCACUUUUUGAUGGGGUUGUUUGUUUUUUUCUUGUAAAUUUGUUUGAGUUCAUUGUAGAUUCUGGAUAUUAGCCCUUUGUCAGAUGAGUAGGUUGCGAAAAUUUUCUCCCAUGUUGUGGGUUGCCUGUUCACUCUGAUGGUAGUUUCUUUUGCUGUGCAGAAGCUCUUUAGUUUAAUUAGAUCCCAUUUGUCAAUUCUGGCUUUUGUUGCCAUUGCUUUUGGUGUUUUGGACAUGAAGUCCUCGCCCACGCCUAUGUCCUGAAUGGUAAUGCCUAGGUUUUCUUCUAGGGUUUUUAUGGUUUUAGGUCUAACGUUUAAAUCUUUAAUCCAUCUUGAAUUGAUUUUUGUAUAAGGUGUAAGGAAGGGAUCCAGUUUCAGCUUUCUACAUAUGGCUAGCCAGUUUCAGGUUUAGAACGUUAAACACAAUUGUUAAAAUGAUGUUCAAGAAACUAUAGUAAUCAAUAUUUAGAACCUUAUUUCCAAAAAAUGCAGAAUGACCUGAGUUAGGCCAUCAAGAGUUAAUUACUACUCCUUCUUCCAAGAGGCCUCUUGCAAUUGAAGUUGAAAAAUUGGGGGCUGUGAAGGGCAUACACAGAAAGAAAAAAGCUUCAACUCAACCCAAAAUCACAGCUUCAAAAUCUGCACUAUUCAAACAGCAGCCACUUGUACUUACUGAGCACUUAAAAUGUGGUAAGUCUGAAUUCAGAUGUGCUGUAUUAAAUGCAUGCCAGACUUCAAAGACUUCCAAGUAAGAAUAUAAAAUAUCUCAUUAAUUUUUUUUUUUUUUUAAAGACACGGUCUGUGUCGCCCAGGCUGGAGUGUAGUGGCACAAUCUCGGCUUACCGCAAGCCCCCCUCCCAGGCUUCAGUGAUCCUCCCACCUCAGCCUCCCAAGUAGCAGGGACUACAGACACAUAUCAGUAUGCUUGCCUAUUUUUCAUAUUUUUAGUAGAGAUGGGGUUUCACCGUGUUGCCCAGGCUGGUCUCAAACUCCUGGGCUCAAGUGAUCCACCCACCUCAGCCACUCAAAAGUGCUGGGAUUACAGGUAUGAGCCACCAUGUCCAGCCUCCCAAAGUGCUAGGAUUACAGGUGGGAGACACUGUGCCCGGCCUCAUUAACAAUUUUUAUACAAAAUUCAUACUGAUAGUAUCUUAGAUAUAUUGGAUUAAAUUAGAUGAACCAAAAAUAAUUAUUAAAAUUUAUUUCACCAUUUCUAUCUUUUUAAUGUGGUUAGUAAAAAAGUUUAUAUUACAUAUGGGCUCAUAAAUUUCUAUUGGACAGCAAUUUUUAGCAAUUUUCACUCUCUCCAAUUAAAAAAGAUAGUGAAGCAUCGGCAAAACCAAACAUGCAUUUAAGCCCUCUACUUAAAGUCUGCCUAAAACAAUCUAAAAGAAUCAACAUAUUCUGGGCCAUUUAUCUCUGGCACGUACCUAAAAAGCCAUCAUCCAAUUUCAAGAAUGGGAAAGUAGCUUUGAGAAUAAGCUAAUACAAGGUGAGUCAUGUUAAAGUAAUGGUUCGUCUAUCUUCUGUGCAUCAGAAUUAACUUGUGGAGCUUUUAUUAAAAAUAUAGAUGGUCAUCCCACCCAGAGAUUCUAAUUCAGUAGGCUGCAGGUAGAACCCGAGCAUGUGUGCUUUAAAAGCUCCCCAGGUGAAUCUAAUAGAUAGCCAGUGCUGUAUAGGUCAUAUUUCUACAUAUACUACUAAAUAUAUUUAUGAAGGUGCUAUUAAAAUUCCCACAGGCUUUGUAAUGCUACUGUGUGGCUGCUUUAGCAACAUCAGCAGACAACAUUGAGAAUCAACACUAAUGAAACUGUGGCAACAGCAAGAAGCUACUGGCACUUAGCUAAAGCCAUUUCCUAUGCUCCUUCCAGACAGGUUUUGCAACGUGCACAAUGGAGGCAACUCCUAUUUCCUUCUUCCUUCAGUUCUCAUGGAAAGCAUUUAUACCUAGGAAGGAAACAGAGCUUAGCGGUUGCAAGCUGGGCUCUGAAAUCAAUCUGCGUCAAAAUGUGCGUACUCAUUAAGUUAGUAGCACCAGUCCUGUAAUGAAUGGCAAGUACUUAGCACAGCAUACAGAAAAGCCAUGCUUUUUACUGCAGUCAACUUCUUGCCUUUUCCAGUGAUUUAGCUAUAUUUUUGGAUCAGCCAUAUGUAAGCCUUUCUCUUUUAAUAUUCCUUUCUCUUUUUUUGAGACAGGGUCUCACUCUGUUGCCCAGGCUAGAGUGGCAUGAUCAUAGCUCACUGCAGCCUCAAACUCCUGGGCUCAAACAAUCCUCCUACCUUGGCCUCCCCAAGAGAUUACAGGCUGGGUACACCCAGCCAAGCCUUUCUUCCAACAAUGAAAACGUGCACAUUGGGCACCGUGGCUCACACCUGUAAUCCCAGCAUUUUGGGAGGCCAAGGAGUGAGCCCAGGAGUUUUGAGACCAGCCUGGGCAACACAAAGAGACCCUCUACUUACGUUUUUUAAUAAAAAUAAUUAAAACAACAAUGAAAAUAUCCGAAUGCUGGCUUAAAAAGUUAACCCUCUACUUCUCCAUUUAUAUAGGUUUCCAAUCAAGAAAAGGUAUCCUAAUCUCUCACCUGUCAGACUCUUCAGUCCUUCUGUGAAAAGUGACUGGAAUUCGGGAGACUGCAACUUCAUUGUGAAUAGAUACUGCUUCGGAAGGCACAGCCUACUCCACCUACGGUUCAGCACUGGCCUGUGCCAAUGAUACAGGCACCUCAGCAUCUGGAGAGGCAGUCACCAACUACACAUCUACAAGGCAAAUACACAGGCAUACCAAUGAAAUUAAAAGUGAAGGUAAGUGAAGGAAAACAAAGGGGGACACAUUUCAAGUUUAUCAACUCAGAAAUUCAUCUCUUGUUCAGAUGAAAAAACUGAAAACGGUGUCAGUUUGAGGGAUUACGACUAGGUCUAUGUAUCUACCUGGUUUUGUUCUCCAGAAGCACUUACUGUGGCAGGCGGGGUCUCACUAGCGCAGGCCUCCAUAACUGUUUCAGUACUGACUGACUGGUUGAGUUACAUAUUAAAAGCUGAAAGAGCCAGCCAGUGCCCUUAAACAAGGCUAGAAUGUAACAAAAGCCCCCCAAGAGUUUUGCCUAGGCCUUUCCUGGACCUUGAAGCAUGAUAAAAUAACAAAGGAAUUCUUUUUUUUUUUUUUUUUUUUUUUGAGAUGGAGUCUCGCUCUGUCGCUCAGGCGGGAGUGCAGUGGCGCGAUCUCAGCUCACUGCAACCCCUGCCUCCUGGGUUCAAGAGAUUCUCCUGCCUCAGCAUCCCAAGUAGCAGGGAUUACAGGCGCACACCACCACAUCCGGCUAAUUUUUUAUACUUCUGGGUAGAGACGGGGUUUUACCACGUUGGCCAGACUGCUCUCGAACUCCUGACCUCAAGUGAUCUGCCCGCCUCAGCCUCCCAAAGUGCUGGGAUUACAGGCGUGAGCCACUGAGCCCGGCCACAAAGGAAUUCUUAACAGGACCCGUUUAGAAUUAAACAAGUUUUACUGGGGAUCUGAGGAAACUCCCCAGGCCUCCACGAACAAGUUUAUUAGGGGUCUGAGGGAACUCCCCAAACCUCCAUGAUUUAGCAGGAGAGAAUAUAAGGGUAAUCACCCCAGCACCUGGACCCAUUUAGAUUAAGUAAAUUUACUCAGGCUCCAGAGGAAGGUCUUCAGGACUCAGAUCUUAUGGGUAAGAAGUUAAUCACUUGUAUCUUUAGAUCAAUGCACACUUACACAUAAACAUACAACUUACAAGGUAUAUAAGCUCUGGAAAGCUCUGUAAUUCUGAGUCGGUCUGGGAUAUUUUCCACGCCUUCGCCCCGUACCUGGUUACAGAAAUAAACUCCUUUCUUUC
rnacentral:lncRNA from 1 species